rnacentral:rRNA from 1 species
CAGCCAUACCAACGGGAAAUCAACCUUUUGAGUUUGUUCUUGCGGGUUUCGAGGAGUUUAAAAGCCUUCUGAUUUGCUAGGAUUGGGCUCUUUUGGUGUACUUUCUCGUACGGUUAGUCAACAUCGGUUUUGAAUGUCAUGAAAUGACUGGAGGAAUGUGGCUUCGAUCUCGUAUCGAAGUGUUAUAACCUUUGGUAGAUGUGAUGUUCGAGACCGAGGAUUGCAACGGAUACCUUUCUGGGCUAUUCGUCUGAUCUCUGAUACGUUGCCUUGAUGUCGAAAGCGUGCUUAUGAUGUUAGGGUAUUACGGUCAAAAGGUUAGAACGGAUUAAA